rnacentral:tRNA from 1 species
UCCCCAGUGGCUCAGCAGUAAAGAAUCUGCCUGCAAAGCAGAAACCACAGGAGAUGCGGGGUUCGAUCCCUGGCUUGGGAA